UACGAAGGGGGCUAGCGUUGCUCGGAAUCACUGGGCGUAAAGCGCGCGCAGGCGGCCUUUUAAGUCUGAUGUGAAAGCCCACGGCUCAACCGUGGAAGGUCAUUGGAAACUGAAAGGCUUGAGUACAGAAGAGGAAAGCGGAAUUCCACGUGUAGCGGUGAAAUGCGUAGAGAUGUGGAGGAACACCAGUGGCGAAGGCGGCUUUCUGGUCUGUAACUGACGCUGAGGCGCGAAAGCGUGGGGAGCAAACAGG
rnacentral:rRNA from 1 species